GCAGAUCCUGUCCCACUAGUGGGCGGCCUCGGCCCCUGCCCUGAGGCGCGUCAGAGGUCAAGAGGCCCAGGUCGUAGGGAACGGCUGUGUGCCCGACCGCUCAGGGUGCUGGCUGGGGUGGCGGGGACUGGAGCGGGGUGGAGACCUACCCGGGUCUGGGGUCCAGCCCUGCGGGGCGCCGUCCCCGCCCCGUCCCGCCCCGCCCUACCCGCAGCCGCCGCCGUAGUCGCCGGGCCUGCGCCGCGCAGCCCGCCUAGGGCGGGAGGCGGGAGGCCGGGCCCAGGCCGGGGCAGCCCCUCAACCGCACCGCCCUGGGCCGGUGCCCAGGUCCAAGUCGCCUUCCGCCUGCCCCCCCCAUUCCCCCCCCACCCCGGCAGCCCCAGCCAGGUCCCGCCGCCAGGCUGGCUCCCGCCCCCGCUCCGCCCCCGGAGCCGCAGCCCCGCCCGCCACCGCCGUCGCCAUGUUGUGGCUCCCGCAGCCGGCGCUGGGGACGCGCGCGGCCGAGACCCGGGCCUGCAGUCGCCGCCGCCGCCGCCAGGUAAGCGCCCCCCGCGGGCCGGGCCGGGCGGGGCGUGCGGGUCGGGACAGCCCCACCUUGGUCCAGGAACAGCGGAGCCAGGACCUAGCCCGAGCCGCGGCCCGGCCCUGCAGCUUGGAGUAUCCUGCCCGCCGCCAGAGGCGGCAGCCACUUCCCCCGACCGCCGCCUGGCGGGCCCGGGCCGCCACCCCACCCCGCCCCCGGCCGUCGGGCGCCGGCCCCUUCCGCCGCUGCGACCGCCGCUCCUCGGCAGGCCGGGCACGCUGCUGUCCUCUCCGCGCUGGGCGGGACGUGCGGCCGCCCUCGGCGACGGCCCGCGGCCCACCGCCCGGGCAUGGAUAACGGUGCCACUUUCUCCCACUGGGACGGCCUGUCAGCCCGACCGUCCCCGCCGGCCGAAGAGCUGUCGCCGUUACGGCGCAGACACUUCGGGGAACGACACUCUUUGGCGCCGCUCAGUCCUCCCCUCCCCUGCGCCCAAGUUCUGA
rnacentral:lncRNA from 13 species